CCGCACAAGCGGUGGAGUAUGUGGUUUAAUUCGACGCAACGCGCAGAACCUUACCAGGUCUUGACAUCCCGAUGCUAUUUCUAGAGAUAGAAAGUUACUUCGGUACAUCGGUGACAGGUGGUGCAUGGUUGUCGUCAGCUCGUGUCGUGAGAUGUUGGGUUAAGUCCCGCAACGAGCGCAACCCCUAUUGUUAGUUGCCAUCAUUCAGUUGGGCACUCUAGCGAGACUGCCGGUAAUAAACCGGAGGAAGGUGGGGAUGACGUCAAAUCAUCAUGCCCCUUAUGACCUGGGCUACACACGUGCUACAAUGGUUGGUACAACGAGUUGCGAGUCGGUGACGGCGAGCUAAUCUCUUAAAGCCAAUCUCAGUUCGGAUUGUAGGCUGCAACUCGCCUACAUGAAGUCGGAAUCGCUAGUAAUCGCGGAUCAGCACGCCGCGGUGAAUACGUUCCCGGGCCUU
rnacentral:rRNA from 1 species